UACGUAGGGGGGCAAGCGUUGUCCGGAUUUAUUGGGCGUAAAGAGCGUGUAGGCGGCCAAGCAGGUCCGCUGUGAAAACUCGAGGCUCAACCUCGAGACGCCGAUGGAAACCAUCUGACUAGAGUCCGGAAGAGGAGAGUGGAAUUCCUGGUGUAGCGGUGAAAUGCGCAGAUAUCAGGAAGAACACCCGUGGCUAAGGCGGCUCUCUAGUACGGUACUGACGCUGAGACGCGAAAAGCGUGGGGAGCGAACAGG
rnacentral:rRNA from 1 species